AAUAAAAUUAUAAGCAUGUUUGCUUAUAUAAAAUUAAUAGACGAUGAUAAAUAUGACACGAUCCUAUUGUCAUUGGUACAUAAUCAUGAGCAGUUAAAGCCACCGUAAAAUAAAAGUAAACAACAUUGGAUUAUGUAUGAGAAUAACUCACCUAAGAAAGGCUUACUGAUAUACGUUGAGGAUUAUUGAUAAUAAGACUGGAAAUCAUGACAGUGAUAGCAAGGAAAAUUUAAAACCGAUUACGAAUGCAGAUAAUCAGAAUGAUGAUGAUCCUUCAAAAAUCAUCACUCUUCCGAAAAUAAAACCGACAAUGAAGUUUAAUUCAUCUUUAGCAAAAACUGAAACAGUAAAAAGAAAGAAAUUAAAAAAAAGCAGGAAAAGAAAAGGUGAUACAGAUUUAUCGACAGAAACUAAAUCCAAGAAGAAAAAAUUUCGAAAGACCAUGAUUGACAAAAAAUUGCAGCAGGUAAAAGUAACAGUUAUGUAUUUAAUUAUUAAUUGAAACAUUAUUAAAAUAUUCAAUAAGAUAACUAAAGAU
rnacentral:misc_RNA from 1 species